AUUGAACGCUGGCGGCGUGCCUAACACAUGCAAGUCGAACGAAGCAUGAGAGCUUGCUCUUAUGACUGAGUGGCGCACGGGUGAGUAACGCGUGGAUGAUCUACCCACGAGUUUGGGACAACAGUUGGAAACGACUGCUAAUACCGGAUACGGCAUCAUUUUCACGAUUGAUGUUAAAGGGGGCCUCUGUAUAUGCUUCCGCCUUUGGAUGAGUCCGCGUUUCAUUAGGUAGUUGGUGGGGUAAUGGCUCACCAAGCCUGCGAUGAAUAGCCGACCUGAGAGGGUAAUCGGCCACACUAGGACUGGAACACGGCCCAGACUCCUACGGGAGGCAGCAGUGGGGAAUAUUGCGCAAUGGGCGAAAGCCUGACGCAGCGACGCCGCGUGAGGGAUGAAGGUCUUCGGAUCGUAAACCUCUGUCAGGAGGGAAGAAAGGCCCGGGUGCUAAUCAGCCUGGGAUUGACGGUACCUCCAAAGGAAGCACCGGCUAACUCCGUGCCAGCAGCCGCGGUAAGAC
rnacentral:rRNA from 1 species